GACGAACGCUGGCGGCGUGCUUAACACAUGCAAGUCGAACGGAAAGGCCCUGCUUGCAGGGUACUCGAGUGGCGAACGGGUGAGUAACACGUGGGUGAUCUGCCCUGCACUUCGGGAUAAGCCUGGGAAACUGGGUCUAAUACCGGAUAGGAGCCAUUUUUAGUGUGAUGGUUGGAAAGUUUUUUCGGUGUAGGAUGAGCUCGCGGCCUAUCAGCUUGUUGGUGGGGUAAUGGCCUACCAAGGCGGCGAUGGGUAGCCGGCCGGGGAGGGUGGACGGCCAAAGUGGGGCUGAGGUUCGGCCCAGGCGCCGAAGGGGGGCAACAGGGGGGAAGAUUGCACAAUGGGCGCAAGCCUGAUGCAGCGACGCCGCGGGGGGGAUUACGGCCUUCGGGUUGUAAACUCCUUUCGCUAGGGACGAAGCUGUUUGUGACGGUACCUAGAUAAGAAGCACCGGCUAACUACGUG
rnacentral:rRNA from 1 species